UGGUCCAUAAUUUGACAACAUUUUCCGAAGAACAUGUGAAUUAACAAAAUAGGUAGCUGUGUUAUAAACAAGGAAAAAAUCAAUGGAUUGAUUCGUGAAUGUUGUCGGAACAAUGAAUAUGGGAGAGAACACGUGUUCGUAGGAGAAAGCAAACUCACGUACACGUGAUACAGAAGUGAGAGUUUGGGAAGUUUUGAACACAGACAAGCUGUAACAUUGUGUUCUUACUUUUCUCUCCCAUAAUUUUUACCAUACAAAUCCAAAUCCAAUUUCCAAUCUUCCCUACUAUUUCUAUUCCUAUUAUUAUUAAUAUCUCGUUGCCACCAUCCAUCCAACCUUAACCACCACCGUUUCUCUUGUGCUCUCAAUCUUUUCUUAAUUUGAGUGGCUGCAAAGCCCCACGUGUUACCUCCUUCACUUUUUUGGUUGUCCCCCUUUUUUGUUCACCACUUUCUUCAUCCAAUAAUCCCUUUGGAGGUUUAGGGUUUUGAUUCUCUCAACAACUCUCGCUUAAUUUAAGGAUAUUUCAUUCUUUUCAAUAACUGCCAUGUCUAAGAGGGUUCUUUGUAAGUUCUUUGCUCAUGGAGCCUGUCUGAAAGGGGAGCAUUGUGAAUAUUCUCAUGACUGGAAAGAUCCUCCAAAUAAUAUAUGCACAUUUUAUCAGAAAGGAGUCUGUGCUUAUGGUAGUCGCUGCAGAUAUGAUCACAUCAAAGCUUCUCAAGCGCAAUCUUCUAUUCCAUCUUCUUCAGUAAUUGAAAACCAUACUGUGGUUUCAGAUACUGGUGCUUUUGGAAAUAUUAUAACUACUUCAAAUGGUGUUGGUACAACUGCAGAGUUGUCUCUUUCCAGUAGUCCAUACAUUCUUCCUAGUGAACCGGCUUGGAAUCAUGAACUGGUUUGGAAUCCAGAAAUUGAGUAUUAUGAAAUUUUAGGGGAAGACAAUGUUGGUCAAUCCAUAAUCACUUCACCUUCUGAGAUUUCAAUCUGUUCAUUUGCUGCUGCUGGCAACUGUCCACGAGGGGAAAAAUGUCCUCAUAUUCAUGGGGAUCUGUGUCCCACCUGUGGAAAGCAUUGCUUGCAUCCUUUCCGACCUGAGGAAAGAGAAGAGCAUAUGAAGACUUGUGAAAGUAGGCAUAAGUAUCUUGAUGCAUUGAAAAGAAGUCAAGAAAUUGAAUGCAGUGUUUGCCUUGAGCGUGUUCUGUCAAAGCCUAUAUUAGCUGAACGCAAGUUUGGGCUGCUAUCCGAAUGUGAUCAUCCAUUUUGCAUAUCCUGUAUUAGGAAUUGGCGUAGUAGUAACCCAACAUUGGGGAUGGAUGUUAAUAGUACAUUGAGGGCUUGUCCUAUUUGUCGUAAGCUAUCGUACUUUGUCAUUCCAAGUGUCGUUUGGUACUCAACAACUGAAGAGAAACAAGAAAUCAUUGACAAAUACAAGGAAAAGCUCAAGUCAAUUGACUGCAAGCACUUUGACUUUGGGGAUGGUAACUGCCCUUUCGGAACAAGUUGUUUCUACAAGCAUGCAUAUCGAGACGGACGUGUGGAGCAGGUAGUAUUGCGACAUCUAGGGGCUGCAGAUGGAAAUACCGUAAUUGCAAAAGACAUAAGGUUGUCGGAUUUCCUUUCCAACAUGCAUUUAAGAUGAACCGUGUUGUUUGUAUGUUCCAGAUACUUGCUAAAAAAAGGCAUCCUUCAAUGUCAAAAGUUAUUUUUAUAUUGCAAGUCAAGCUCCUCUUCUUGUUUCUAUGAUAGUUUGUACAAACACUUGUGUAGGGCUUUGGAGUGUGGUCUGUAGAAAAGAAAGGUAGCAGCAGAUAACCCACAGACAAAAUAAGAAACACCGUCAUGAAUUUAUGCAGAAGCCAUAAAAUGUGUGAAAUUCAAGCAAACAUAGGCACCAGAGAAAGAAGCUGCAGACUUGUGCAUUCUGUGGUUGUAAUAAAGUGCAUGUGCUAUACAUGGUAGAUGGAGAAGCUAUGAGGGUAUAAACUUAAAUAAAAUUCAUUUUUAAAGCAUAUAAAUCGAAGUAUGGAUUGGUGGUGGUAUACUAUACUCUAUUAGAAGCAUGGUGGAAUGCACUCUUUUAGCCAUCAGUGAGACUUUUAGAAGCAUUACUUUUGUCUGGUGGAUUUCAAAGUAAUAUGAAAAAAUUGAUUGGGGUGAUGAAGUUUUCCUGUUACCAUUAUUCAGAUCUUAAAAAGAGAUACCUUUCUGUUGUAUACUUGGAUUUCCUUGCUGUGCUUGGCACUGUACCAAGAAUCUUAGGAUAAAGGAUUCAACAUGUGUUAUAUUGCUUUUCUUAUUUUCUUUAGGACUUUGUCAGAGCCCUUUUCGUGGCUUACAUUGAUUUUUUUUCUUUUUUUAUGAAUAUACCAGUACAAUCAUCAUAAGUUUCACCAA